CCAUCCAUUUCUCAUUAUUUGCUCCGAUCUUCUUAUUACAUACACUUGUCUCGUUUUGGUUUCUUCAUCACAGCAACCUUCUUUAGCUUAAUCUACUUUGCUUUACUUCCAAAAGUGAAAAAUCAAUUUCGUUGCUUUCCUGUGUUUCCUGAUUUCAUUUUCUGCCAAUUUCAACUUCUUGUCGCUCGGUUUUAUUUGAAAAGAAAAAAAAAAGGCAAACAUAUUUUGUUCAGCUUCAUAUACCAACCGAUUGUGCUUCGGCGUUAUGUAAGCAAUGGAAUAUAGAGAGAUAAGGUAUAUGUCAAGUUGAGAUUCAAGUCGAACAACUGUCAAGUCUAAGUCGUAUACAUUGGCUAUGAUAUUGAUAGCGUGCUAUGGUGAACAUUGAUGGGAAAGUCAACCCUUUGGAACCCUAAAAUCUUUGAUCUGAAGUCGACAAACUUCACGUUCACAAAUUAUGCAGCUUAACCAACAAAUUACUUGAGGAGGUGGAGGCCCUUUAUUCGAGCCUGGCCUACAGCUUAACCUAGAAAGUGACAUAACCAAGAUUUCUCCAAAAGCAAAAGAAAACCAAAAAAUUUGCAUACUGCUCUGUUUUUCUUCAAGCGUAGCCUUGAUCAUAAGCUAAGAUCGGAGAAGCAGACGAAUUGGUAAGCUGAAGGUGCCAUGGCGAUGGAGAUACUCACUGCAAUUAUUCCUACAAUAAUUGACUACACAGUUAGACCACUUGGACGGCAAGUGAGUUAUGUCAUUUUCUACAACAGCAACCUUAAAGAUCUAAGGAGUACAUUGAAGAAUUUUGAUGCUGUGAAACAAAGGAUGAACCAUGCAGUUGAAGAAGUCGAAAGAAAAGUUAAUGAAAAAGUGGAAGUUGAUGUCCGGAACUGGCAGACAGAAGCAGAUGAGAUCUCUCGAGAGGCAGAAGCAAUAUUGGAUGAUGAAGGCCGUGCAAAGACAAAAUGUUUGUAUAUAUGUCCUAACCUGAUAUCCUAUCAUCAGCUCAGCAGAAAAUCAACUAAAUUGGUGAGAAAGAUUGAAGAACAUGAAAAUAAAAAAGAGUUUCCCACAAUUUCUUACAAUGCUGCCUUAGAAGACAUAUCUGCCAUAGCCUCCGACGAGUACAUGGCCUUUGAAUCAAGGAUUUCAAUGGUGAAGGAUAUCAUUACGGAAUUGAAAAAACCUGAUAUCAACAGGAUUGGGGUGUACGGAUUAGGGGGCGUUG